rnacentral:tRNA from 1 species
AUCUUCUUAGUAUAAAUAAUAUAUUUGACUUCCAAUCAAAAGAUCUUUAAUUACAAAGAGAAGAUA